GGCUCUUUGAAAUAUAAGAAUAAAGAGUCGGACCUGCCCAGUGAAAAAUUUUUCAACGGCCGCGGUACUCUGACCGUGCAAAGGUAGCAUAAUCAUUUGCCUUAUAAUUGAAGGCCAGUAUGAAUGGUUUGACGAGAGUAAAUCUGUCUCGAUUUGAUUAAACAGAAUUUUAUUUUGAAGUGAAGAAGCUUGAAUAAAAUAAAUAGACAAGAAGACCCUAUCGAGCUUGAAAUAAUUUUGUAAAAGAAAUAAAAAUAAAUCUAAAACAUUGUUUACAAUUGAUUUUUGGUUGGGGCGACUUAGGAACAAACAAAGCUUCCUAAAUUAUGAGAGUUUACUAUGUGAUCCAAUAUUUUUUGAUUAAUGAAAUUAGUUACCGUAGGGAUAACAGCAUAAUCUUUUUUAAGAGUUCUUAUCGAAAAAAAGGUUUGUGACCUCGAUGUUGGACCAGAAUAUCCUAAAGAUGCAGCAGUCUUUAAAGGUUGGUCUGUUCGACCAUUAAAAUUCUACG
rnacentral:rRNA from 1 species